UGAAACGCCGCGUUUCACUUAAGGGCGUGGCAGUCAACGAUUGGUCUCAUGGGAAAAAAACAGAAAAAAACAUGCAAAAGCCAGGCAAAGGAAUUAAACACGAUCUGGGAACGCAGCAGCUAGGGUUUCAUAGCACCUUCAUCAUGUUCAUCAACACAUGAACUUUUUUCUCAGAAAUUAGCAAACUAUAUAUCAUCAUGUUC
rnacentral:lncRNA from 1 species